rnacentral:tRNA from 1 species
GCCGGUUUAGUAUAAAGAGUAUGGGAGAUUGUAGAUCUUACGGUGGUUUCGUUGCCAGCCGGGA